rnacentral:rRNA from 1 species
CAGUAGCCGCGGUAAUACGAAGGGUGCAAGCGUUAAUCGGAAUUACUGGGCGUAAAGCGUGCGUAGGCGGUUUCUUAAGUCUGCUGUGAAAUCCCCGGGCUCAACCUGGGAAUGGCAGUGGAUACUGGGAGGCUAGAGUGUGUCAGAGGAUGGUGGAAUUCCCGGUGUAGCGGUGAAAUGCGUAGAGAUCGGGAGGAACAUCAGUGGCGAAGGCGGCCAUCUGGGACAACACUGACGCUGAGGCACGAAAGCGUGGGGAGCAAACAGGAUUAGAUACCCCGGUAGUCCCUGUCUCUUAUAC